UGUUCUAGGAUAACAUUUACGGUUGUGGGACUAAGAGGGGGAUUAGGAAGGAUAGGUCCAGUAGUUCUCCUUAAUCCCAUGCUUUGUUUGAUAAUUUCAGAUUUUCAGCCCACGAUUAAGUGAAAUGGGCUUCACCUAACUAAUACUAACAUUUAGGGCUGUUUGGUUUGAGGAGGAUAGUCCAAUACUCCUUAAUUCCAUCCCUGGUUUGAUUUUUUGGCCCCAGGAUUAAGUGAAAUUGGCUUUACCUUUCAGGCGGGAUUAGAUAGUCUCAGGUAGGGUGUGGGAUUAUAAUCCCACAUUCCCACCACAAAAAUCUGAACAGGAUUGAAGAAAAAUACUCGUUCUCAGGAAUAGUGAAAUUGGCCUUACCUUUCAUGUGGGAUUAGAUAGUCUCAGGUAGGGGGUGGGAUUAUAAUCCCACCACAAAAAUCGAACUUGAAUGAAG